AACGAACGCUGGCGGCGCGCCUAAUACAUGCAAGUCGAGCGAGAAGACGUAGCAAUACGUUUGUAAAGCGGCGAACGGGUGAGGAAUACAUGGGUAACCUACCCUCGAGUGGGGAAUAACUAGCCGAAAGGUUAGCUAAUACCGCGUACGCUCCUUGGACUUCGGUUCAGGGAGGAAAGCGAUACCGUGGGUAUCGCGCUCUUGGAUGGGCUCAUGUCCUAUCAGCUUGUUGGGAGGUAACGGCUCACCAAGGCUUCGACGGGUAGCUGGUCUGAGAGGACAAUCAGCCACACUGGCACUGCGACACGGGCCAGACUCCUACGGGAGGCAGCAGUAAGGAAUAUUGCGCAAUGGGCAAAGCCUGACGCAGCGACGCCGCGUGGGGGAUGAAGGUCUUCGGAUUGUAAACCCCUUUCGGAGGGAAGAUGGAACGGCAAUCGUUCGGACGGUACCUCCAGAAGCAGCCACGGCUAACUUCGUGCCA
rnacentral:rRNA from 1 species